rnacentral:rRNA from 1 species
AUGCCCUCCCACAUCCCUCUUCAACUCCGGUGCUCGUCCCAAGAGCACCAGCUCCACCCGAUGCAGGCGGAGGAGGCCUCCCCCAACGCACCCCUACCACGCUGGCUAGCUGCGCCGCCGCUGGAUGUCUCUUCUAGUGGAUCUCUGCGUCCUGGUCGACCUCCCUUCCUGGUGGAGUCCACGCCCCGCGGCGGCCAUCAGGGCGUGAGCACCUCGAGCAUGGCCGGCGCCGGGAUGCGCCACGCCUUGCUCCUGCAGCAUUCUGUGCAGUUCAUUCCGUUGAGGCGCCGCGUGAUGCAGUAUGCAUCGUUGUGGUGA